rnacentral:rRNA from 1 species
AGAGUUUGAUCAUGGCUCAGAACGAACGCUGGCGGCGCGCUUAACACAUGCAAGUCGAGCGCUCUGGGGGCAACUCCAGGGAGCGGCGGACGGGUGCGUAACACGUGGGUAAUCUGCCUGGGAGUGUGGGAUAACUCGCCGAAAGGCGAGCUAAUACCGCAUGAGCUCACGGGAACUUCGGUUCUUGUGAGAAAAGGAGCAAUUCGCUCCCAGAUGAGCCCGCGGCCCAUCAGCUAGUUGGCGGAGUAAAAGCCCACCAAGGCAAAGACGGGUAGCUGGUCUGAGAGGACGGCCAGCCACACUGGAACUGAGACACGGUCCAGACUCCUACGGGAGGCAGCAGUGGGGAAUCUUGCGCAAUGGGCGAAAGCCUGACGCAGCGACGCCGUGUGUGCGAUGAAGGUCUUCGGAUCGUAAAGCACUGUCGCCCGGGACAAAGAAAGUGAUGGUACCGGGAGAGGAAGCACCGGCUAACUCUGUGCCAGCAGCCGCGGUAAUACAGAGGGUGCGAGCGUUGUUCGGAAUUAUUGGGCGUAAAGCGCUGGUAGGUGGCUUGUUAAGUCGCGUGUGAAAGCUCCAGGCUCAACCUGGAAAGUGCGCGCGAAACUGGCGAGCUUGAGUGCCGGAGAGGGUCGCGGAAUUCCCGGUGUAGAGGUGAAAUUCGUAGAUAUCGGGAGGAACACCAGAGGCGAAGGCGGCGACCUGGAAGGUAACUGACACUGAGCAGCGAAAGCGUAGGGAGCAAACAGGAUUAGAUACCCUAGUAGUCC